AGUGAACGCUGGCGGCGUGCUUAACACAUGCAAGUCGAACGAGAACGGGUUAUAGCUUGCUAUGAUUGUCAGCUAAGUGGCGCACGGGUGAGUAAUGUAUAGGUAAUAUGCCUCUUACUAAGGGAUAACAAAUGGAAACGUUUGCUAAUACCUUAUACUCCUUAUUAACAUAAGUUAAUAAGGGAAAGAUUUAUUGGUAAGAGAUUAGCCUGUAUUGUAUCAGUUAGUUGGUGGGGUAAUGGCUUACCAAGACUAUGACACAUAACUGGUUUGAGAGGAUGAUCAGUCACACUGGAACUGAGACACGGUCCAGACUCCUACGGGAGGCAGCAGUGGGGAAUAUUGCACAAUGGACGAAAGUCUGAUGCAGCAACGCCGCGUGGAGGAUGACACAUUUCGGUGCGUAAACUCCUUUUAUAUGAGAAGAUAAUGACGGUAUUAUAUGAAUAAGCACCGGCUAACUCCGUGCCAGCAGCCGCCGUAA
rnacentral:rRNA from 1 species